UCAUGGAGGUGACAUAAUUUAGAGCAAGUGGUUUCCACAGUGCAAGCAAGGAUCAUAUUCCCGGACGAGACCGACUUGUUGCGUAUUUGACGAGCAAGCGUCUGUAAAUUCUGUUAAAUAUGGGUCGCUCUGUCCUGGUGCUCACUAUCACUGCAUCCACUUUUGGAUGGCAUAAUGUUCGGCCAUGAGCUCGGAAUAAUAUCCGGCGCUCUGCCGCAGCUUCAAGCUCAGUUCUUUCUGGGUUGUGUCCAGCAGGAAGCCGUGGUUAGCGCUCUUCUGAUCAGAUCAUUGUCAGCAUCUGUGAUUAAUGGCUGGCUGAUUGAUCGUCAUGUCAGGAAGACAUUCAGUAAUCUCCACAUCCUGGGAGGCACCAUUAUCUCUUUUUUUGGCACUGGUGGUUGUAGGGCCAUCAUUAGUUUUGCAAUGAGCAUUACUUCCAUGAGCUGCUGCAUCUUUAUCUCUGAGAUGGUUUCUCCCGACACAGAGGGUUGAUGGUUACCCUGUACGAAGUUGGAAUUACAGUUGGGAACUUGUUGCGCACUCAACUAUGUUUUCUCUGGUGUCCAAGCAGGAUGGAGGUACAUGUUUGCACUUGCUAUUAUACCAUCUCUCAUGCAGUUGGUGUCCACUACGAUUUUCCUUUGAAGUAAAACAUUUUGGUCAGAAAGAACUGGAAUAGUAAUGGACUCUGACUUGUGCUUGAUGCAAUUCAGCAAUAUCUGACAACAUCAAGUCAGUGCAUCAAAAUCUGAGG